UACGAAGGGUGCAAGCGUUACUCGGAAUCACUGGGCGUAAAGCGUGCGUAGGCGGUUUCUUAAGUCUGUCGUGAAAGCCCUGGGCUCAACCUGGGAACGGCGAUGGAUACUGGGAAGCUAGAAUGUGAGAGAGGAUGGUGGAAUUCCCGGUGUAGCGGUGAAAUGCGUAGAGAUCGGGGAGGAACACCAGUGGCGAAGGCGGCCAUCUGGCUCAACAUUGACGCUGAGGCACGAAAGCGUGGGGAGCAAACAGG
rnacentral:rRNA from 1 species